rnacentral:rRNA from 1 species
UACGGGGGGGGCAAGCGUUGUUCGGAAUUACUGGGCGUAAAGGGCUUGUAGGUGGCCAACUAAGUCAGACGUGAAAUCCCUCGGCUUAACCGGGGAACUGCGUCUGAUACUGGAUGGCUGGAGUGUGGGAGAGGGAUGCGGAAUUCCAGGUGUAGCGGUGAAAUGCGUAGAUAUCUGGAAGAACACCGGUGGCGAAGGCGGUCUGCUGGGCAGUAGCUGACGCUGAUGCGCGACAGCAUGGGGAGCAAACAGG